GACGAACGCUGGCGGCGUGCUUAACACAUGCAAGUCGAACGGAAAGGCCCGGCUUUGGUGGGGUGCUCGAGUGGCGAACGGGUGAGUAACACGUGAGUAACCUGCCCUUGACUGUGGGAUAACUUCAGGAAACUGGGGCUAAUACCGGAUAGGAGCUCCUGCUGCAGGGUGGGGGUUGGAAAGUUUCGGCGGUUGGGGAUGGACUCGCGGCUUAUCAGCUUGUUGGUGGGGUAGUGGCUUACCAAGGCUUUGACGGGUAGCCGGCCUGGGAGGGUGACCGGCCAAAUUGGGACUGGGAUACGGCACAGACUCCUACGGGAGGCAGCAGUGGGGAAUAUUGCACAAUGGGCGGAAGCCUGAUGCAGCCACGCCGCGUGCGGGAUGACGGCCUGCGGGUUGGAAACCGCUUUCGCCUGUGACGAAGCGUGAGUGACGGUAAUGGGUAAAGAAGCACCGGCUAACUACGUG
rnacentral:rRNA from 1 species